AUAUCGCUGGCGGAGGCUAACACAUCCAGUCUUUACGGCAGCGGGAAAGUAGCUUGCUACUUUUGCCGGCUGAGCGGCGGACUAGAGGUGAGUAAUGCCUGGGAAAUUGCCCAGUCGAGGGGGAUAACAGUUGGAAACGACUGCUAAUACCUGCAUACGCCCUACGGGGGAAAGCAGGGGACCUUCGGGCCUUGCGCGAUUGGAUAUGCCCAGGUGGGAUUAGCUAGUUGGUGAGUGUAAUGGCUCACCAAGGCGACGAUCCCUAGCUGGUCUGAGAGGAUGAUCAGCCACACUGGAACUGAGACACGGUCCAGACUCCUACGGGAGGCAGCAGUGGGGAAUAUUGCACAAUGGGGGAAACCCUGAUGCAUGCCAUGCCUGCGUGUGUGAAGAAGGCCUUANGGGUUGUAAAUGCACUUUCAGCGAGGAGGAAAGGUCAGGUAGCUAAUAUCUGCUGGCUGUGACAGUUACUCGCAGAAGAAGCACCNGGCUAACUCCGUGCCAUGCAGCCGCGGUCAAUACUGGAGAGGUGCAAGCAGUUAAUCCGUGAAAUUACUGGGCUGUU
rnacentral:rRNA from 1 species